rnacentral:rRNA from 1 species
GACGAACGCUGGCGGCGUGCCUAAUACAUGCAAGUCGAGCGGAGCCGUGCGCAUUCUUCGGAAAGCGUUUGGCUCAGCGGCGGACGGGUGAGUAACACGUAGGCAACCUGCCCGUAAGACCGGGAUAACACACGGAAACGUGUGCUAAUACCGGAUAACCUGCAGAAGCGCAUGCUUCUGCACGCAAAGGCGGAGCAAUCCGUCACUUACGGAUGGGCCUGCGGCGCAUUAGCUAGUAGGUAGGGUAACGGCCUACCUAGGCGACGAUCAGUAGC